CAGAUUGAACGCUGGCGGCAGGCCUAACACAUGCAAGUCGAGCGGUAGAGAGGUGCUUGCACCUCUUGAGAGCGGCGGACGGGUGAGUAAUGCCUAGGAAUCUGCCUAGUGGUGGGGGAUAACGUUCGGAAACGGACGCUAAUACCGCAUACGUCCUACGGGAGAAAGCGGGGGACCAGUCGGGCCUCGCGCCAUUAGAUGAGCCUAGGUCGGAUUAGCUAGGUUGGUGAGGUAAUGGCUCACCAAGGCGACGAUCCGUAACUGGUCUGAGGAGGAUGAUCAGUCACACUGGAACUAAGACACGG
rnacentral:rRNA from 1 species